AUUGAACGCUGGCGGCAGGCCUAACACAUGCAAGUCGAGCGGAUUAAUUGAGGUUCCUCCUGUAUUCAACGUCGGACGGGUGAGGAAUGCCUAGGAAUCUACCAGCUAGUGGGUGAUAACGUCCGGCAACUGGCGCUAAUACCUCAUACGGCAUAACAGACUAACUGGGGGAUCUUCUGACUUCACGCUAUCUGUUCAGCCUAGGUCGGAUUAGCUAGUUGGUGGGGUAAAGGCCGACCAAGGCGACGAUUCGUAACUGGUCUGAGAGGAUGAUCAGUCACACUGGAACUGAGACACGGUCCAGACUCCUACGGGAGGCAGCAGUGGGGAAUAUUGGACAAUGGGCGAAAGCCUGAUCCAGCCAUGCCGCGUGUGUGAAGAAGGUCUUCGGAUUGUAAAGCACUGUAAGUUGGGAGGAAGGGCAGUAAGUUAAUACCUUGCUGUUUUGACGUUACCAACAGAAUAAGCACCGGCUAACUUCGUG
rnacentral:rRNA from 1 species